GGCUGCGAUGGGUGAGGGCCCAGGAUCCAGGGUCCAGAGCCUCUGCAGGGCCAGCCCAUCCUCACGUGGCAGCCCCUCACCAAGCAUGAGAAUGCAGGGCUGGCUUUUGACCCACCCUCCCACCUCCGGAUGGAACCUGGCCUGGCUCCCCCCUCCCCCCUGUCUGAUGGCCCUGGGUCAGCUCUGGGAAGAGGCAUCCCCCCCACCGCAGAACCAGGGGAAGAGACCACAGCAGUCCUCCCCCUCCAGGCACAUCCUCCACCAAGCUCAGAGAAACCCAUCUACACCAAGCGCUGUCCACACAGCCUGAACGCAGAAGUGAGUUUCUUCUGAGUUGUUCCUUCCCUGCAAGGAGGCUGCUCCUGAGAAUCCAGAAUCCAGAGAUACGCUUUCUCUCUACGUGAAUACUUCUUUUUUUCUCCUUUUCUUUUUAUUGCCGUUCAUUUUCCUUGGCCCAGAUGGACGCUUGAUAGGGUUUUAUUAUCCUGAGAUAAUGUUUUAUAACUGUAGAUUAUUUGAAUGUGACUCAUAACUUAUUUUAUUUGUAGAUCGUGUAUUUCACAGUGUCUUUACGAUUAUUAGCGAAUCCCUUAAAAUCAUCCAAAAAGAUGGCAACAAUUUUGUUAUUGUCUUUCUCCUAGAAUGAUUUCGAAAUUUCUUAAUUUUGGUUUCAUUGGUAUUAUUUAAGUAAUUACACAAUGUUUUGAGUCGAGACUUGAUAAUAAAAUUUAGGGGACAGUGUUUUAUACAUCCGUACAUGUAGAUGUGAAUUUUAAUUUGUUGUUUCCAUGUUAUUUGGGGCAAGAGUAUUUUGGCUCUUGCCCUUAAACAAUAGUUUCUACUGAUUUGGAAACAGUAAGUUUUGGUCUCUUUUCUCAAGUGGUAUUGACUUUUCUCUCAUUGGAGCUUCCUACUGGACUUCAGUGAUUACACAAAUGUUCAGAUGGCAGCUCAACAGAAUUGCAACUCUUAGAGCAUUCAUAAAUGCAGCUUAUUUAAAAGUGACGUUCCUGCGUUCGUGGUCCUUUUCUUCCGUCUGUGCCUGGAGGAAGGACGGCAUUUCUGCCGUUGUUCAAUGAGCAGCAUUUUACACGAGGCAUUUCCUAACAGUGAGUAUUUGGACCUCAAAGGUUAUUUCUGUUUACCAGGGGGUGAAGUUACUCUUGUUAUAAGGUUCGCUAAAUAAAGCCGGGUCUUAGAAAAUAGUCUGGGAGACACUGGCUAAGGCCAAAGACCUCUUACCUCCAGGCUCAUUGUGGAAUGUUGGCGCCUACAAGGAGGGGGCUGGGAGGGCUCACCCAGGACCCUACCGAGGGUUUCGGCUCCCUUCACCAAUUUCACCAUUGAAACUGGGCCAGAACCACCUGAAAAAGCCCCCGAUGGCAAAGCUUGAACAUUUUGGCAACAGAAUAGAUUAUAUAAUUCUGGAUUAUAACCCAAGCGUGAAAUAAACACACAUGCCUCCAUACGGGUUUAAAUAAGGGAUGGAGAAAAGAAAUGGGCAAGAGGAGACAAAUCUUUCCCCAUAGAAGAUUCCGGAUCACUUAGCUGGAACUCUCCUCUCCAGGAAGUGGAGCUUAAAAUCCUCCACCCUUACGAGUGAGUGGAUUUAGCGACCAGCUUCCAAAACCACGAAGUGCGAGAAAGGAAACAUCCUGUCCCGCAGAGGAGAGGCCUGGCCGACACCACAGUGCCAAGUGACCAAGGUUAAGGUCUCCCGAGACACGUCACUCUGAUGCCAGCCCCCCCGCCGCCCCCCAUGAGAUGUUCCUCUGUCUCUACCAUUUCUUCCCCCAAAUCCAUAACCCUAAACGGAUCACAAGAGAACAGCACACAAAUCCAAGGGAAGGAUCGCUGUGAAACCCACGCCCAACGCCUUCCAAGUCUCUGAGCUCCUGAACACAGGGACGCACGGAGAAACGGUCACACAUCAGAGACGAAGGAGCCCUGGCGCCCAACGCUGUGUCAGGUCCCGGAACAGCAAACUUGCAUUAGCGGGAGAACUGGCAACAUCCAGUUCCUAUUCAGUGGCAGUAACGCAGCAGGGUUAAUGUCUUAGUUUUGAGAAAUGCACCCUGGUUGUGUAAGACGUUAACGUUGGGGGAAAUGAGGUAAACAGAAUAGAGUCCUUCCAAAAAACAAACACCAGAAAGGAAAAAUCCUAACCCCGCAGUGGAGAGGCCUCGCAAAUACCACUUUACCAGACUUGCAUUUUUUUCCAAACUUCGCAGUUGAUUAGGCUUCCAAGUCCUUCUCUCCUUGCUUCUCUUGCUAAAUUCAACCAACCCUGGACAUCGGACAACAGACACUCCCAGCCAGGAAAGGACUGGCCAGGACUUCAGGCUGGAGGAGCAACAUGGCAAGAAGUUUCCUGGCUUUUCUUUUUGUGUCCUGAAUAUCUGGGUCAGAGGCUCGGGGGACCUAAAACCCAGAA
rnacentral:lncRNA from 1 species